UUUUGAAACCAUCAAGGUGCUUGAGAAAAUGGUAGUCGGUAGGAGAAAGGUCUGGGGAAUAAGCUGGGUGGGGAAGAACUUUGUAGCCAAGUUCCUCCAACUUCUGGAGCAUCAUUAGGGAAAAAUGUG